CUGGGUGUCUCAGCAGAGAUGACGGGAGGAUACCAAGUGCGCUGUGCUCAUGACAACAUCCCCCCCUUUUCGGUACACCGUGUGAGCACAUCCAGGGCACGUGCUGGUGACGGUUUGGCGCGGGAAGUGUGAGGAGAGAAGCGGCGCGCGCUCUAAAUAUAGUCCGUGGUGCUGAGGCAGUCUGCAGUGCCAGCGCGGGCUGCGGGCAGGUGUAAGACACGCACCCGGGCGCGCAGCAUCAGAGAGAGAGUACAAAUCUCAGUGCUUUCAUUAUAUAUGAACAUGCGGUAUCAGAAUACUCCAGAAGUUAUGCUACUUUCAGUUAGACAAAAGAAGCACAGAUGCGUGAGAUUCAAGAAGUGGAUUGUAGUAACAGCCACUACCAGCCAAUCGGAAUCGUCGUUCUGAGGACCAAUCAGCUGUCGUUUAUGAGCAGGUGCACGGUCAUGUUCAAAGGACACUGAGCUCCUGAGGGUGAUGAUCGCAAGCCACCGAGGCGACUGCUCCCACAGCAUGCCGCCAUCCACUAACAGAGCCAGAAGACGUCGAUGAUCCUACACAGAGACGCUGACAGGGAGUGCUGACCCUCCACAUAACGCCAGCUAUCCUUUGCGGUACCAGGGGGUUAUAGAAUGGGGGGGAGAGUGUUAGUCACUAUUUUACACUAUGUAGUCUAUUAAGGUUGCACAGUCAACCCAAGGCUUUUAUGAUAUAACUGCCUACUGGGGCGCUGUGUGGGUACUGGCUCCAUUAACUCUGUGCCUCUCUGAAGGUACUUGGGGGAAACUGUGUCUGACAUUUUCCUGUGUGUGUACAUAUUUCUCACAUUACCAUGUCCAGGGACUCUGUGUCUUGUGCUGCAGUGUAUGUAUCUUACCCAGAGGAAUCCAUUCCAUGUACUCAGGAAUGUUAAGUCAUGUCUCAGCCUUCUGAAUCCGAACCGUUGUGGGUGGCUUCAAUUAAGGGAAUGAUAUCCCAGAUUUCAUCUAGAAUAGCUCAUAAUGAGACUGAAACUCAGGUUUUGAAAAUAUCUGUAGAGGUUUUGUCUGUUUCUGUUCCCACAGCCUCCUCAAACUCCCCUGGUAUAUGCCCAA